rnacentral:rRNA from 1 species
UACGGAGGGUGCAAGCGUUGUUCGGAAUCACUGGGCGUAAAGGGCGUGUAGGCGGUCCGCUAAGUCUGAUGUGAAAGCCCGGGGCUCACCCCCGGAAGGGCAUUGGAAACUGGCGGACUCGAGUCCCGGAGAGGAAGGUGGAAUUCCUGGUGUAGCGGUGAAAUGCGUAGAUAUCCGGAGGAACACCAGUGGCGAAGGCGGCUUCCUGGACCAAUACUGACGCUGAGGCGCGAAAGCGUGGGGAGCGAACAGG